AACCUGGUUGAUCCUGCCAGUAGUCAUAUGCUUGUCUCAAAGACUAAGCCAUGCAUGUCUAAGUAUAAGUAUUAUACAGCGAAACUGCGAAUGGCUCAUUAAAACAGUUAUAGUUUAUUUGAUAAUCGAAUUUACAUGGAUAACCGUGGUAAUUCUAGAGCUAAUACAUGCUGGUGUGCCCGACUUUUGUGGAAGGGCGGUAUUUAUUAGAUAACAAGCCAAUAUUCCUCUGGUCUAUUGUGGUGACUCAUAAUAACUGAUCGAAUCGCAAGGCCUAUGGCCGCGGUAAGUCAUUCAAGUUUCUGCCCCAUCAGCUUUCGAUGGUAGUGUAUUGGACUACCAUGGCGUUUACGGGUAACGGAGGAUUAGGGUUCGAUUCCGGAGAGGGAGCCUGAGAAACGGCUACCACAUCUAAGGAAGGCAGCAGGCGCGUAAAUUACCCAAUCCUGACUCAGGGAGGUAGUGACAAGAAAUAACGGACCGGGGGCCUUACGGCUUCGGGAUUGCAAUGAGCCGAAUUUACACCCCCUUAGCGAAGAUCGAUUGGAGGGCAAGUCUGGUGCCAGCAGCCCGCGGUAAUUCCAGCUCCAAUAGCGUAUAUUAAAGUUGGUUGCAGUGUAAAAGCUCGUAGUUGGAUUUCUGGGAGGGUGCCGCCGUCCGGCGUGUCCGUGUGCAGUGGCGCCCUUCCAUCCUUCUGUUAGCGUCUCUUGGCAUUCAUUUGCUGGUGGCGGGCUCAGAUAUUUUACCUUGAGAAAAUUAGAGUGUUUCAGGCAGGCUAGGCCGGAAUACAUUAGCAUGGAAUAAUGGAAUAGGACUACGGUCUCUUUGUUGGUUUGAGGGACUGCAGUAAUGAUUAAUAGGGAUAGUUGGGGGCAUUAGUAUUUAAUUGUCAGAGGUGGAAUUCUCAGAUUUGUUAAAGACUAACUUAUGCGAAAGCAUUUGCCAAGGAUGUUUUCAUUAAUCAAGAACGAAAGUUAAAGGUUCGAAGGCGAUUAGAUACCGCCCUAGUUUUAACCAUAAACGAUGCCAGCUAGCGAUCUGCGGACGUUUUUUUUUGUAGACUCCGCAGGAAGCUCCGGGAAACCAAAGCAUUUGGGUUCCCAGGGGAAGUAUGGUUGCAAAGCUGAAACUUAAAGGAAUUGACGGAAGGGCACCACCAGGCGUGGAGCUUGCGGCUCAAUUUGACUCAACACGGGAAAACUUACCAGAGUCCAGACAUAGUGAGGAUUGACAGAUUGAUAGCUCUUUCUUGAUUCUAUGGGUGGUGGUGCAUGGCCGUUCUUAGUUGGUGGAGUGAUUUGUCUGGUUAAUUCCGUUAACGAACGAGACCUUAGCCUGCUAACUAGUCGCGGCGAUCUCGAUCGUCGUCGGCUUCUUAGAGGGACUUUGUGGCACUAAACACAAGGAAGUUUGAGGCAAUAACAGGUCUGUGAUGCCCUUAGAUGUCCUGGGCCGCACGCGUGCUACACUGACGCCUACAGCGAGUACUUCCCAGCCCCGAGAGGUGGCUGGUAAUCAGCAAUAGGCGUCGUGAUGGGGAUAGAUCUUUGGAAUUAUGGAUCUUGAACGAGGAAUGCCUAGUAAGCGCAGGUCAUUAGCCUGCGUUGAUUAAGUCCCUGCCCUUUGUACACACCGCCCGUCGCUCCUACCGAUUUCGAGUGGUCCGGUGAAUCUUUCGGACUGCGCGCGGCUUCGUGCCGUGUCGCGGAAAGUCAGGUAAACCUUAUCACUUAGAGGAAGGAGAAGUCGUAACAAGGUUUCCGUAGGUGAACCUGCAGAAGGAUC
rnacentral:rRNA from 1 species